rnacentral:rRNA from 1 species
UACGGAGGGUGCAAGCGUUAUCCGGAUUCACUGGGUUUAAAGGGUGCGUAGGUGGGCAGGUAAGUCAGUGGUGAAAUCUCCGGGCUUAACCCGGAAACUGCCAUUGAUACUAUCUGUCUUGAAUACCGUGGAGGUGAGCGGAAUAUGUCAUGUAGCGGUGAAAUGCUUAGAUAUGACAUAGAACACCGAUAGCGAAGGCAGCUUGCUACACAGUCAUUGACACUGAGGCACGAAAGCGUGGGGAGCAAACAGG